rnacentral:rRNA from 1 species
UACGAAGGGGGCUAGCGUUGUUCGGAAUCACUGGGCGUAAAGCGCACGUAGGCGGAUUUGUCAGUCAGGGGUGAAAUCCCGGAGCUCAACUUCGGAGCUGCCUCUGAUACAGCAAGUCUUGAGUUCGAGAGAGGUGGGUGGAAUUCCUAGUGUAGAGGUGAAAUUCGUAGAUAUUAGGAAGAACACCGGUGGCGAAGGCGGCCCACUGGCUCGAUACUGACGCUGAGGUGCGAAAGCGUGGGGAGCAAACAGG